CUAGGGUUUGUCUCACUCCUCUCUCUCCCACGCUCCCUUGCGUCGCCGCCGCCACCCCCUCCCAUUCCCAGCCCGUGCUCUCCUCUCUUCCUCACCUCCCUUACGCCACCAUCCGUCGGGAAGCACCACGGUCGUUGUUGCUCCGCGCCGCUGCUCCUGAGCCGAGCUUGUGCAUCGGCAUCACCGUGAGGGGCAUGGCCUGCUGAGACGGCCGUCCAUGUCGCUGUUGCCGUCGUUCUUCGCGCCAUCGGAUAGUAUGGCCGCCACCGCAUGCCCCUGUCGAGCGCGUGCCAUCACCGUCGUCAUCCAUCGGGGAAGUACAAGCCACUGUACGGACUCACCAUACCGGCCAUGCCAGCCAAAUCUCCUCUGCACCUCCUAACAGGCUUGUCUAGCACUAAAGGGGACACAUUUUUACAGUCCCGCUAAUUUUUAAUCAUCUCAAUUAUGACUUGUUAGUAGGAUGUUGUUUGUAGAAUUUAGUUUUUUUUUGUUGCAAUCCAUUAUGAAGCAUACAGGUGCUUAGAUUUUGAUAUUUUUUAGUUUGGUCAGCUCAGAUGUUGAUAACUUUUCAGUUUGUUUCAAGCUGUUUAGUUCAGAUUCUGAUACUUUGUGUACCAUUUAUAGAAGAUGCUAUGUAAGAUGAUGGCAAGGUUUAGUUAUCUGAAAAUACAAGUGAAGUUCGGCAUGGUUUCAAUGAUGUUUUAAAAAAAAUCCAUGUAUCAUUGACCUACAACAAAGCUCAGUCUAAGCAAGGUAAUUUCUGAAAUGAGACGUACAAGACUUCAUUAUUUGCUUGAUUUGCUAUUCAUCCAGGGGGGUAUAUCAGUUUGGUUUGCCUUAUAUCUUCAUCACUAUGCUAUGUUGAUUCAUGUGCUCCUUUUAGUCGGAGAUGACGUGCUCAGAUUUAGAAAAUUGGUUACUCCUAUUUUGUUCACUUCCUAACCUGCAAGAAACAGGAACAACCUCUACAAUGUACUGUUUUGUAAGCACAAAUAUGUCUAUCAUCGAAUAUAUUAGAGUUGACAACCAAGUUGCUUAAGCAUUAACAUUGUAUGGAUAGUAUGCAUUAAGACAGUCAGUGCCGGCAGUAAUUCCAGUUUUUGUUUCUGGAGUCACAAAUAAAAUUUAUUUGAAAUGUUUAUGUAGUUAUCUCAAUUGAAGUCACAAAAUAACCCAAUUAUUUUUGUCUUCUAUAUUCUCUGAUUUUCAGCCUCCAUGUCCUAACACUGAAUGUCUCAGAUAAUUUGGUGACGGGUCAUAUAUUAAGAGUUGGUGGAGAUUCAAGACUUACAUGACUGCUAUUGUAGCAACAAUGCUAUGGGCAGAUGGCUAUCUUUCCUACCACUCUCACUCUUGGCUAUACUUCAACCCAAACAUCAACGAAGCAAAGAACUUGAUUUACAAGAGCAGUAGCACACCGACAUGCAUAAGGAAGCCGACGGACAGCCAGAGCAAGGUGUGGAGCUUGAGCUACAACGAGAAUGACAACUUGGGUGUUAGCUGCAAAAACCAACAGUUCAAGUGUUCAAACAGUUCAACUUGGGCUGAUAGAGUUUGCUAUUAAAUUUCUUUCUUGGAAAAUAAUUUGCUGCUAUUACUUCAAAUGUUACAAUGUUUGGUUAUCUUUUGAGACCUUCAUGUUUCCUAUUUCAUGUUGGCAUUGUCAAUGUUUACAGUAAUGUGCAAGCAGAAAUUACUCGUGUUGAGUAAAACCUUCUAUGAUUUUGA